CAACCGAUGUAGUGAUACAUAACUGAACUGUCAGAAGUCAGCAGAAGCCAUAGUAUUGGGCUAGGUUAACAUAGCCUAAGAAGGGC
rfam:Thermotalea metallivorans strain B2-1 AN619_contig000018, whole genome shotgun sequence.